CCUACGGGAGGCAGCAGUAGGGAAUCUUUCACAAUGGGCGAAAGCCUGAUGGAGCAACGCCGCGUGCAGGAUGAAGGCCUUCGGGUUGUAAACUGCUUUUAUCAGCGAGAAAGAUGAUGGGAACUUAUGCAUAAGGAUCGGCUAACUACGUGCCAGCAGCCGCGGUCAAACGUAGGAUCCGAGCAUUAUCCGGAGUGACUGGGUGCAGAGAGUUGCGUAGGUGGCAUAAUAAGUAGCUAGUGAAAUCUGGUGGCUCAACCAUUCAGACUAUUAGCUAAACUGUUAAGCUCGAGACCGUUAGGGGUAACUGGAAUUUCUAGUGUAGGAGUGAAAUCCGUAGAUAUUAGAAGGAACACCAAUAGCGUAGGCAGGUUACUGGGACGGUUCUGACACUAAGGCACGAAAGCGUAGGGAGCAAACGGGAUUAGAUACCCUGGUAGUC
rnacentral:rRNA from 1 species